rnacentral:rRNA from 1 species
AACGAACGCUGGCGGCAGGCCUAACACAUGCAAGUCGAGCGAAGCCUUCGGGCUUAGCGGCGGACGGGUGAGUAACGCGUGGAACGUGCCCUUUGGUACGGAAUAGCCCCGGGAAACUGGGAGUAAUACCGUAUGUGGUCGAGAGACGAAAGAUUUAUCGCCAAAGGAUCGGCCCGCGUUGGAUUAGGUAGUUGGUGGGGUAAUGGCCUACCAAGCCGACGAUCCAUAGCUGGUUUGAGAGGAUGAUCAGCCACACUGGGACUGAGACACGGCCCAGACUCCUACGGGAGGCAGCAGUGGGGAAUCUUAGACAAUGGGGGGAACCCUGAUCUAGCCAUGCCGCGUGAUCGAUGAAGGCCUUAGGGUUGUAAAGAUCUUUCAGUAGGGAAGAUAAUGACUGUACCCACAGAAGAAGCCCCGGCUAACUCCGUGCCAGCCGCCGCCGUAAAAC